GACAGAGGGUGCAAACGUUGUUCGGAAUUACUGGGCGUAAAGCGCGUGUAGGCGGCCCGGAAAGUCGGAUGGGAAAGCCCUGGGCUUAACCUAGGAAGUGCAUUCGAAACUGCUGGGCUUGAGUUCUGGAGAGGAAGGCGGAAUUCUCGGUGUAGAGGUGAAAUUCGUAGAUAUCGAGAGGAACACCGGUGGCGAAGGCGGCCUUCUGGACAGUGACUGACGCUGAGGAGCGAAAGUGUGGGGAGCGAACAGG
rnacentral:rRNA from 1 species